AGUGAACGCUGGCGGUAGGCCUAGCACAUGCAAGUCGAACGGCAGCACAGUAAGAGCUUGCUCUUACGGGUGGCGAGUGGCGGACGGGUGAGGAAUACAUCGGAAUCUACUUUUUCGUGGGGGAUAACGUAGGGAAACUUACGCUAAUACCGCAUACGACCUACGGGUGAAAGCAGGGGAUCUUCGGACCUUGCGCGAUUGAAUUAGCCGAUGUCGGAUUAGCUAGUUGGCGGGGUAAAGGCCCACCAAGGCGACGAUCCGUAGCUGGUCUGAGAGGAUGAUCAGCCACACUGGAACUGAGACACGGUCCAGACUCCUACGGGAGGCAGCAGUGGGGAAUAUUGGACAAUGGGCGCAAGCCUGAUCCAGCCAUACCGCGUGGGUGAAGAAGGCCUUCGGGUUGUAAAGCCCUUUUGUUGGGAAAGAAAAGCAGCAGGUUAAUACCCCGAUGUUCUGACGGUACCCAAAGAAUAAGCACCGGCUAACUUCGUG
rnacentral:rRNA from 1 species